rnacentral:lncRNA from 1 species
CUCAGAUUAAUAACCCGAUGACCUGUGGUAAUCCCACCGGAGGAGGAGGGUCAGCGUCAGCGGCGGGGUUCCUCGUCGGUCAACGGCAGCCUUUGUCUCCUCUUCCACCGUUCCCGGCUGUGCAUGCGGCGGCGGAGUCUCCGAUCUCCGCUUACAUGCGGUUUCUCCAGAGCUCGGUCUCCUCGGCUGCUUCUCCCAAGUGGAACAACCUUCCGCCGCCGCAGAUGCCGCCGCCGCCACCGGCGCUGCAUCAGCAGCAGCAGAACAUUCCUCCGCCGCCGCAGGGUUUUCCUCAGUUCCCGGUGCUUCCACCGACUUCGCCGCUGGCUUUUGGAUGUAUCCCGUCGCCGAGGUCGCCCUACGCUUUACUGUCCCCGAGCUUGCUAUUUUCGCCGACGGGUCUAGGUUUUCC